rnacentral:rRNA from 1 species
UAAACUCCUGUCAGCAGGAAAAGACGACUUAGCCUAAUACGCUAGGGAGUUGAUUGUACCUGCAGAGGAAGCCCCGGCUAACUCUGUGC